GAUGAACGCUGGCGGCGUGCCUAAUACAUGCAAGUCGAGCGAACAGACGAGGAGCUUGCUCCUCUGACGUUAGCGGCGGACGGGUGAGUAACACGUGGAUAACCUACCUAUAAGACUGGGAUAACUUCGGGAAACCGGAGCUAAUACCGGAUAAUAUAUUGAACCGCAUGGUUCAAUAGUGAAAGACGGUUUUGCUGUCACUUAUAGAUGGAUCCGCGCCGCAUUAGCUAGUUGGUAAGGUAACGGCUUACCAAGGCAACGAUGCGUAGCCGACCUGAGAGGGUGAUCGGCCACACUGGAACUGAGACACGGUCCAGACUCCUACGGGGGGCAGCAGUAGGGAAUCUUCCGCCAUGGGCGAAAGCUUGACGGAGCAACCCCGCGUGAGUGAUGAAGGUCUUCGGAUCGUAAAACUCUGUUAUUAGGGAAGAACAAAUGUGUAAGUAACUAUGCACGUCUUGACGGUACCUAAUCAGAAAGCCACGGCUAACUACGUG
rnacentral:rRNA from 1 species